UUCCUCAUUUAUUACAUGUGGACCUUAACUGUACCUCCUCAUAGGGUGGUUGUCUGACCAACUGAGAUUAUACCUGUGAAGUGCUCAAAGUGGGGCUUGGUUUACAGCAAAUGAUAUGCAUUUACUGUUGCUGUUGUUAUCAUGUACUUGGGGUACAGAAACGAGUGAGGUGCAGGAAGGCUGUGAGCUCAUGAAGGCCAGGGCCGAGGGCUCCUCCCUCUGUGCCCAGCAUCCGGGGCAAACCCUGACAUUUCAUAGAAGUAAGUGUUCUCAGUGUGGGGAACAGGCUCUUGGCUGGGCUCACUGACCCUCUCUGCGCUGGCACUGGCUGACCCCCUUGCCUCUUCCGCCACCCUGGCCUUACUCUGCAGACCUGGGACACUGAGACCUACACAAUCAACCAGCCUGGAGCCAUCGAAGGGUCCACUCUUUAGACAGCUGUGGGCAUGUCUUGUAGUUGUGACUUGACCUUAUUGUCCUUUUAGGGGCAGGAGUCAGGUCUCCUGUACCCCCUACUGUGUCAGGCAUGUGGACCUGGAACACAGUAAGCAUCUUAUAAGUCUCACCUGAGGCUCUGACUGACCUUCAGUUCCUGGGGGCACUGGGGACAGGAUCCUCUCUGCCCCCGCCUUUUGCUCUUUCCAUGUGUACAUCCAGGUGUUGGGCACUGCCAACCUCUUCCUUGAUGCUCCUGCUAACAGAACCUCUUCACUUGCGGGAAAAAAAGGGGCGUGUCAAGUUUGCAGGGAAGCUGGGCCCAGCCCCAGGGAUGAAAUAUCGCGAGACUCUGCGUAGUCACGGUAAACCCAGUCCCGUUGCCUAGGUAUCCUUGGCUUCUGGGUACCGACGUGAUCCAGUUCUGGUCAGCGGGACCUGAUGGCAGCUCUGGGGCUGUGGGGGGUUCCGGGAAAUGUCCCUUCCCCCACCCCCACUGCUUUUGGAGGCUGGCAGGCGAGGGCUACCGUGGAGCUGAGUCUAGGAAUAGAGGACUAGAGAGUUGCAGUGAUAUUGAUCCAGAACUUUGGCCUCCCUGAGCUCGCGAACCCCGGCAGCCUGCUCUGGACUUGAUAGCCCAGGUCCUUGCUCUGUUUGAAGACAGAAGGAGAGCCCAAAGCCCUGGGUUCCUUUCAUCACUUUUUUUCUCCCUUGACUUCAAGCUCUUUAUGCGGGAUGUUUAAUGCUCACACGGUGUGGAUCCUAGAACAUGCUUACAGAUGAGGAAGCCUCGGACUCAGGGAAGUUCUGUAGAUUGGUGAUUCAGAGCUUGGUCCUGUUUCCUGAAGCUGACAAAUCCUGUUCUCCCUGCAAAUCGGCCUCGCUCAUGUCCAGACCCCAACUCAUUCCUUUAUUCCCGUUUUUCUCCUUGUGCGAUUCUUGCACAUGGUAGGUGCUUGAGAGAGAGAGCGUGUGAUAUUCAUUGUCUGCUGU